CCUACGGGGGGCUGCAGUGGGGAAUAUUGGACAAUGGGCGAAAGCCUGAUCCAGCCAUGCCGCGUGUGUGAAGAAGGCCUACGGGUUGUAAAGCACUUUCAGUGGGGAAGAAAGCCUUGGGGCUAAUACCCUCGAGGAAGGACAUCACCCACAGAAGAAGCACCGGCUAACUCCGUGCCAGCAGCCGCGGUAAUACGGAGGGUGCGAGCGUUAAUCGGAAUUACUGGGCGUAAAGCGCGCGUAGGCGGUCUGAUAAGCCGGUUGUGAAAGCCCCGGGCUCAACCUGGGAACGGCAUCCGGAACUGUCAGGCUAGAGUGCAGGAGAGGAAGGUAGAAUUCCCGGUGUAGCGGUGAAAUGCGUAGAGAUCGGGAGGAAUACCAGUGGCGAAGGCGGCCUUCUGGACUGACACUGACGCUGAGGUGCGAAAGCGUGGGUAGCAAACAGGAUUAGAUACCCGAGUAGUC
rnacentral:rRNA from 1 species